CAAGUCGAGCGAUGAAGCUCCUUCGGGAGCGGAUUAGCGGCGGACGGGUGAGUAACACGUGGGUAACCUGCCUCAUAGAGGGGAAUAGCCUUCCGAAAGGAAGAUUAAUACCGCAUAAGAUUGUAGUUUCGCAUGAAACAGCAAUUAAAGGAGUAAUCCGCUAUGAGAUGGACCCGCGUCGCAUUAGCUAGUUGGUGAGGUAACGGCUCACCAAGGCGACGAUGCGUAGCCGACCUGAGAGGGUGAUCGGCCACAUUGGGACUGAGACACGGCCCAGACUCCUACGGGAGGCAGCAGUGGGGAAUAUUGCACAAUGGGGGAAACCCUGAUGCAGCAACGCCGCGUGAGUGAUGACGGUCUUCGGAUUGUAAAACUCUGUCUUCAGGGACGAUAAUGACGGUACCUGAGGAGGAAGCCACGGCUAACUACGUGCCAGCAGCCGCGGU
rnacentral:rRNA from 1 species